UCCAGAUGGCGCUGGAAAGGGAACCCGAUUGCGUAGUAACACAGAGCUGGCCGGUAGACGAUGUCGAAAUCUGCACGCCUUACAAAAUAUCCUCCAAAGAAAGUUCACUGCAAGCUGGUCAAGUGUGCACUUCAAUGACACAAGAUUUAAAUUCCCCCGCUGACUCAGGUCCUGUAAAUAGUGCAGCCAUUGAUAAAGGAUCACUCACGUCUUUCCUGCUCAACUUUGACUCUAACUCUUACAUGGCGCCUAAAGAGACUGAAAAACAGGUUGUCUUUGAUCAC